rnacentral:rRNA from 1 species
UACGGGGGGAGCAAGCGUUGUUCGGAUUUACUGGGCGUAAAGGGCGCGUAGGCGGCCACUGCAAGUCAGUUGUGAAAUCUCCGGGCUUAACUCGGAAAGGUCAACUGAUACUGCAGGGCUAGAGUGCGGAAGGGGCAACUGGAAUUCUCGGUGUAGCGGUGAAAUGCGUAGAUAUCGAGAGGAACACCUGCGGCGAAGGCGGGUUGCUGGGCCGACACUGACGCUGAUGCGCGAAAGCCAGGGGAGCGAACGGG